rnacentral:rRNA from 1 species
GACGAACGCUGGCGGCGUGCCUAAUACAUGCCAGUAGAACGCUGAAGGAGGAGCUUGCUCUUCUGGAUGAGUUGCGAACGGGUGAGUAACGCGUAGGUAACCUGCCUGGUAGCGGGGGAUAACUAUUGGAAACGAUAGCUAAUACCGCAUAAAAUUGAUUAUUGCAUGAUAGUCAAUUAAAAGGUGCAAUUGCAUCACUACCAGAUGGACCUGCGUUGUAUUAGCUAGUUGGUGAGGUAACGGCUCACCAAGGCAACGAUACAGAGCCGACCUGAGAGGGUGAUCGGCCACACUGGGACUGUGACACGGCCCAGACGCCUACGGGAGGCGGCAGUAGGGAAUCUUCGGCAAUGAACGGAAGUCUGACCGAGCAACGCCGCGUGAGUGAGGAAGGUUUUCGGAUCGUAGAGCUCUGUUGUAAGAGAAGAACGAGUGUGAGAGUGGAAAGUUCACUCUGUGACGGUAUCUUACCAGAAAGGGACGGCUAACUACGUG